GGAACACUGCAGUGAUGUUUUACAGUAAGCCAGGUGAGGAACACUGCAGGUGAUGUUUUACAGUAAGCCAGGUGAGGAACACUGCAGGUGAUGUUUUACAGUAAGCCAGGUGAGGAACAUUGCAGUGAUGUUUUACAGUAAGCCAGGUGAGGAACACUGCAGUGAUGUUUUACAGUAAGCCAGGUGAGGAACACUGCAGUGAUGUUUUACAGUAAGCCAGGUGAGGAACACUGCAGUGUUCCUCACCUGGCUUACUGUAAAACAUCACUGCAGUGUUCCUCACCUGGCUUACUGUAAAACAUCACUGCAGUGUUCCUCACCUGGCUUACUG
ensembl:lncRNA